UACGUAGGGGGCAAGCGUUGUCCGGAUUUAUUGGCGUAAAGAGCGUGUAGGCGGCCAGACAGGUCCGUUGUGAAAACUCGAGGCUCAACCUCGAGAUGUCGAUGGAAACCGUCUGGCUAGAGUCCGGAAGAGGAGUGUGGAAUUCCUGGUGUAGCGGUGAAAUGCGCAGAUAUCAGGAAGAACACCUAUGGCGAAGGCAGCACUCUGGGACGGUACUGACGCUGAGACGCGAAGCGUGGGAGCGAACAGG
rnacentral:rRNA from 1 species